rnacentral:rRNA from 1 species
UACGUAGGGUGCGAGCGUUGUCCGGAUUUAUUGGGCGUAAAGAGCGUGUAGGCGGCUUUACAGGUCCGUUGUGAAAACUCGAGGCUCAACCUCGAGACGCCGGUGGAAACCGUAAAGCUAGAGUCCGGAAGAGGAGAGUGGAAUUCCUGGUGUAGCGGUGAAAUGCGCAGAUAUCAGGAGGAACACCCGUGGCGAAAGCGGCUCUCUGGGACGGUACUGACGCUGAGACGCGAAAAGCGUGGGGAGCAAACAGG